rnacentral:rRNA from 1 species
CCCUUAGAUGUUCUGGGCCGCACGCGCGCUACACUGACAGAGCCAGCGAGUUUUUUUCCUUGGCCGGAAGGUCUGGGUAAUCUUGUGAAACUCUGUCGUGCUGGGGAUAGAGCAUUGCAAUUAUUGCUCUUCAACGAGGAAUACCUAGUAAGCGUGAGUCAUCAGCUCGCGUUGAUUACGUCCCUGCCCUUUGUACACACCGCCCGUCGCUACUACCGAUUGAAUGGCUUAGUGAGGUCUUGGGAUUGGCUUCGAGGAACCGGCAACGGUACCUUGUUGCUGAGAACUUGAUCAAACUUGGUCAUUUAGAGGAAGUAAAAGUCGUAACA